UUGCGCAAUGACCACAGAUUACUCGCCUCCUAUUUAAGUCUCCUUUCCGGCACCGCGGGCUAAAGUUACAAACUGCGCUUCUACUUCAGACAUCUUCACAGCCGAACCCCUCUGAGCUGACAGGAUGAAUUCACGUGUUCUGAAGAUUAAAGAUGGGAAGUUUGUGAAAGUCCAGAAAUUGUACAAUGGACUCAAGCUGUGUGCUGUUGACUCCCAAACAAAUGAUCAUACGGUCUACAUAGAGAAACACCGCUCAUACAACUGGAUAGCUUUUAAAUUCAAUCUGAAGGGUGACAAUAUGGUGAAAGACUAUUUCCUAAAGGGGGACAAACACUCCCUUGAGGUAAAUAGAACAAUGCAUUUUCUCUC